ACAGCAGCCGCCGCGGGAAUACGCAGGUCCCGAGCGUUGUCCGGAUUUAUUGGGCGUAAAGGGAGCGCAGGCGGUUUAGUAAGUCUGAAGUUAAAGGCUGUGGCUUAACCAUAGUACGCUUUGGAAACUGUUUAACUUGAGUGCAAGAGGGGAGAGUGGAAUUCCAUGUGUAGCGGUGAAAUGCGUAGAUAUAUGGAGGAACACCGGUGGCGAAAGCGGCUCUCUGGCUUGUAACUGACGCUGAGGCUCGAAAGCGUGGGGAGCAAGCAGGAUUAGAUACCCCUGUAGUCCCUGUCUCUUAUACC
rnacentral:rRNA from 1 species